AGUCAGGUAAGCCGUUUUAAAUCAUCCCCUUCCCCCAUCCAGACCACCGCCCAAUCAACACUCCAAAACGAAAUGAUGGAAGAACAGUAGUCCAGAUAGGACUUUGACACUCAGUAACCAGACUAUAGUUCGAAGAUAGAUGUCCUUGCCUUCCUCCACAACCAAUCAUCCCCAUCCGCUUUGAAAGAAGACAGGUCCGGUAUCAGGGAGGGGAGAAGACCUUCAAAUCAAGCCGGGAAACAUCGAUGUCAAAUGGAGGUUACCCUUUCGGGAUCUUGGAAUGGAUUGACUUGGUAUCAUCAUGAAGGA
rnacentral:snoRNA from 1 species